rnacentral:rRNA from 1 species
UUCCCUGAGUAGCGGCGAGCGAAACGGGAAAAGCCCAAACCAACAAGCUUGCUUGUUGGGGUUGUAGGACUCCAAUAUGGUCGUUCUUUCAGAUAGUCGAAUGACUUGGAAAAGUCAGUCAAAGAGGGUAAAAACCCCGUAGACGAAAUGUGGAAGACACCUAGGAGGAUCCUGAGUACGGCGGAACACGAGAAAUUCCGUCGGAAUCCGGGAGGACCAUCUCCCAAGGCUAAAUACUCCCUAGUGACCGAUAGUGAACCAGUACCGUGAGGGAAAGGUGAAAAGCACCCCGGAAGGGGAGUGAAAUAGAACCUGAAACCGUGUGCCUACAACAAGUCAAAGCCCGUUAAUGGGUGAUGGCGUGCCUUUUGUAGAAUGAACCGGCGAGUUACGAUUGCAUGCGAGGUUAAGUUGAAGAGACGGAGCCGCAGCGAAAGCGAGUCUGAAUAGGGCGUUUGAGUAUGUAGUCGUAGACCCGAAACCAUGUGAUCUACCCAUGUCCAGGUUGAAGGUGCGGUAAAACGCACUGGAGGACCGAACCCACGUACGUUGAAAAGUGCGGGGAUGAGGUGUGGGUAGCGGAGAAAUUCCAAACGAACUUGGAGAUAGCUGGUUCUCUCCGAAAUAGCUUUAGGGCUAGCCUCGGAAUUGAGAAUGAUGGAGGUAGAGCACUGUUUGGACUAGGGGCCCAUCUCGGGUUACCGAAUUCAGAUAAACUCCGAAUGCCAUUCAUUCAUAUCCGGGAGUCAGACUGUGAGUGAUAAGAUCCAUAGUCGAAAGGGAAACAGCCCAGACCACCAGCUAAGGUCCCAAAAUAUAUGUUAAGUGGAAAAGGAUGUGGGGUUGCACAGACAACUAGGAUGUUGGCUUAGAAGCAGCCACCAUUUAAAGAGUGCGUAAUAGCUCACUAGUCGAGUGACCCUGCGCCGAAAAUGUACCGGGGCUAAACAUAUUACCGAAGCUGUGGAGUACACCUUUAGGUGUAUUGGUAGGAGAGCGUUCUAAGGGCGUC